rfam:Necator americanus N_americanus-1.0_Cont603.1, whole genome shotgun sequence.
GGCGCGAUGGCCGAGUGGUUAAGGCGUUGGACUUAAGUUCCAAUGGACAUAAGUCCUCGUGGGUUCGAACCCCACUCGCGCCA